rnacentral:rRNA from 1 species
GACGAACGCUGGCGGCGUGCUUAACACAUGCAAGUCGAACGGAAAGGCCCUGCUUUUGUGUGGUUCUCUAGUGGCGAACGGGUGAGUAACACGUGAGUAACCUGCCCUUGACUUUGGGAUAACUUCAGGUAACUGGGGCUAAUACCGGAUAGGAGCUCCUGCUGCCUGAAGGGGGUUGGAAAGUUGCGGCGGUUGGUGAUGUAAUCGCGGCUUAUCAGCUUGUUGGUGGGGUAGUGGCUUACCAAGGCUUUGACGGGUAGCCGGCCUGAGAGGGUAACCGGCCACAUUGGGACUGAGAUACGGCCCAGACUCCUACGGGAGGCAGCAGUGGGGAAUAUUGUACAAUGGGCGGAAGCCUGAUGCAGCAACGCCGCGUGCGGGAUGACGGCCCUCGGGUUGUAAACCGCUUUCGCCUGUGACGAAGCGUGAGUGACGGUAAUGGGUAAAGAAGCACCGGCUAACUACGUG